rnacentral:rRNA from 1 species
UACGAAGGGAGCUAGCGUUGUUCGGAAUCACUGGGCGUAAAGCGCACGUAGGCGGCUGUGUCAGUCAGGGGUGAAAUCCCGGAGCUCAACUUCGGAACUGCCUUUGAUACAGCACGUCUUGAGUCCGAUAGAGGUGGGUGGAAUUCCUAGUGUAGAGGUGAAAUUCGUAGAUAUUGGGAAGAACACCGGUGGCGAAGGCGGCUAUCUGGACCGACAUUGACGCUGAGGCGCGAAAGCGUGGGGAGCAAACAGG